rnacentral:rRNA from 1 species
AUCAAUGGCCACACCAUCCAGAACACACCCGGUCACGGUUGAUCCCGGAAACUAAGCAGGGUCGGGCCUGGUUGGUACUGAAACAGGACAAAGGGCUAGGGAGCAUAUUGCUU